rnacentral:misc_RNA from 1 species
CGCUGUUUUAAUGUAACACCGAUGAGCACCGAUCGCGGCGAAAAUGAACAAGGGCUGCUGGAAAUUCGACGAGGAAGACAAAGCCUUGUAUAUAGACCUGGAGGAGGACACGGAGGAGGAUAAGCUGUGCAAGGAGUACAGCUCUUGGGACCAGACGCCGGAUAUCUUGCUGGAGGAGAUAUUCUCGUACCUGACAAUCCGUGAGCGUUACUAUGCGUCUCUGGUGUGUCGAUCCUGGUAUCGCGCCUUCAAACUGCAGAAUGUGUGGUCCACCUUCACCCUGGAGGACACCACCCUCACGCGGGGCAAGUUCAACUACUACAGUGGCUGGCAGUAUGUUCUGGAUCAUAUGAGAACAUCCACCUGCUUGAACAAGGUCGGCCGCAACUUUCGCUCCCUCAUAUUCGAGCCUAUGUUGAACUUUUACAAUCUCUAUGAGUUCAUGAACAUGAUAUCUUGGUAUGCUGAGCAUCAAGGCUCGGACAAUACCUCUGUAGCUGGUGUGGGCACUUACAUUCGCAGGCUGAAGUUUACUUUUCCCUGUAACAUGGCGAAUAGAGAUGAUCCAGAUCGGAUCAGAGUCUUUGGCACAGGUGGCAAGCUGCUCGAGGCACUCAAGAGGCUCAUGAGAAACUUGCAGAAUCUUAGAUGUCUGGAAUUGAUAGAUCUGAUGCUCGACAGCAACGAGGCCUUACAUUUGAUGGACGAUAUUUGUACAAAUUGCACUCAAACCUUGUCGAAAUUGAUACUAAUAAAUACCACACGGUACAAUUGCCCGUUAUUGCACGUCGGAGUGUUUGUUAAUUUAAACGUCUUGGUAAUUAGUCCGCAAAAUUUGCACGAAGAUAUAAUAGAAUUAAUAGGCUACACGAAAUUGAGGCAUCUUCAUAUCUUACAAAAUCGAUAUAGUCCAAAGGACACCACCAUUAGAUUGCCAAAGAGAUCAUCUUGGGUAAAGUUGAAAAGCAAUAAUCCUCACUUAAAGGUACACUUUGAAGUAGAAAGUCGUAAACCCACGGAUAUUCUUUUGCCUAUCCACUCAUUUGAACACAAUAUCGUACCAUGUCACAGUAUAGUACUGGAUAAUCCGAAUACACUGACUGUGCCGGCUAUGAUACUCGGCGGAGGAUUCUUCGAGUCGACGAUACGAGUGUAUGCUCUCAAAGGAGUAACGAGAUACUAUUUGCACAGAGAAUUUGCUAUGAGAAUGGAUGAGCCGCUAGUGCAAUUGUGCCGAAUGUGCCCGAACCUGCAUACACUGGUAGCAUUUUGUAUUUGAAUUGACAUGUUUUCUUAAACCAUUGGUGUUAACAACGUGACUUAUAAUGUGCAUGCAUUUGUACCUUUACACAUUAUGAGUCUGUUUUCCUACUCUAUGAUCCGAGAUAAAAUAUCGACGGCCACGAUUCUAGAGAUCGUGUCCACCGCGAAACACUUGCGUUGCUUGUACGUUCGGCGAAACGUAAU